AAAUUUCGGUAUUGAGAUAAUAUAAUUAAUUGUAAUUUCUACGUUGUCCUGUAUUUCUGUUUCCGUUUUGAUUUUUUUUAAAUAUUUCUUUUAUUUAAACAGACGAUUGAUCGGUAGCAUUAAGUCACCGAUGUGAUAUACAUAUUAGAUACUUCUGCCUGGUUGUUUUACAAGCAGAGUUUCUCAACAAAAAAGAUGUACUUAAAUGAUUACAAGUUAACUUUCUUCUAUUCAAACGAAGGAAGAAUGUCUCUUCCCUCUUGCUCAGUAUCUGAGUCACUCUUCACUAUACCAGGAUUCCGUAUGAUGCAGUUUACAACAAUACGUGGUGAAGUUCGAAGAAACAUCUGAAGGCAUCGCUAGAAAUGUUUAUUUUAAAUACAAAAAUAUUACUGUA
rnacentral:lncRNA from 1 species